rnacentral:lncRNA from 1 species
UUUCUUUUUGGGCAGAGUACCCCGUAGAGCUAAGGGAGGUUUCGCUUUCCGUCGCCAUGUUAAGUUCAGGCAACGGCUUCAGAGAUAUCCUAUUGGAAUCAAUAUUGAUGGGAUCUAACAAGCUUAUUGUUAAGUGUAGGAACUUUGCUGUGUUAGUAGAUCUUCAUAUUUUGCCUCAAGGCUCAAGAAAAGAAACCAGCUGGUUUUCAGAACAGAUGAAAAAGAAAUUCACUGUGGUCUUCUCUAAGGUGGAAACUUUUGAGACAUCAAGAGUCCCUAGUUAGUUCUCAUGGCAACAUCUUCAACAACUCUUCAGGAUAUAGGCUUCACAUAACAGCUUAUUUCAUCAAAAGAGGGAUUCACCUUCAUUAUAUUGUGGGGAAACUGAAUUAUGGUAAGUGGCGCGCUCUGUGCAUUCUAUUCCUUUUCGUACCAUCACUUUCCUCCAGAAAAGAAAUA